rnacentral:rRNA from 1 species
ACGAACGCUGGCGGCGUGCCUAAUACAUGCAAGUAGAACGCUGAAGAGAGGAGCUUGCUCUUCUUGGAUGAGUUGCGAACGGGUGAGUAACGCGUAGGUAACCUGCCUUGUAGCGGGGGAUAACUAUUGGAAACGAUAGCUAAUACCGCAUAACAAUGGAUGACACAUGUCAUUUAUUUGAAAGGGGCAAUUGUUCCACUACAAGAUGGACCUGCGUUGUAUUAGCUAGUAGGUGAGGUAAUGGCUCACCUAGGCGACGAUACAUAGCCGACCUGAGAGGGUGAUCGGCCACACUGGGACUGAGACACGGCCCAGACUCCUACGGGAGGCAGCAGUAGGGAAUCUUCGGCAAUGGGGGCAACCCUGACCGAGCAACGCCGCGUGAGUGAAGAAGGUUUUCGGAUCGUAAAGCUCUGUUGUAAGUCAAGAACGGGUGUGAGAGUGGAAAGUUCACACUGUGACGGUAGCUUACCAGAAAGGGACGGCUAACUACGUGCCAGCAGCCGCGGUAAUACGUAGGUCCCGAGCGUUGUCCGGAUUUAUUGGGCGUAAAGCGAGCGCAGGCGGUUUGAUAAGUCUGAAGUUAAAGGCUGUGGCUCAACCAUAGUUCGCUUUGGAAACUGUCAAACUUGAGUGCAGAAGGGGAGAGUGGAAUUCCAUGUGUAGCGGUGAAAUGCGUAGAUAUAUGGAGGAACACCGGUGGCGAAAGCGGCUCUCUGGUCUGUAACUGACGCUGAGGCUCGAAAGCGUGGGGAGCGAACAGGAUUAGAUACCCUGGUAGUCCACGCCGUAAACGAUGAGUACUAAGUGUUGGGAGUCAAAUCUCAGUGCUGCAGUUAACGCAAUAAGUACUCCGCCUGAGUAGUACGUUCGCAAGAAUGAAACUCAAAGGAAUUGACGGGGGCCCGCACAAGCGGUGGAGCAUGUGGUUUAAUUCGAAGCAACGCGAAGAACCUUACCAGGUCUUGACAUCCCGAUGCUAUUUCUAGAGAUAGAAAGUUACUUCGGUACAUCGGUGACAGGUGGUGCAUGGUUGUCGUCAGCUCGUGUCGUGAGAUGUUGGGUUAAGUCCCGCAACGAGCGCAACCCCUAUUGUUAGUUGCCAUCAUUCAGUUGGGCACUCUAGCGAGACUGCCGGUAAUAAACCGGAGGAAGGUGGGGAUGACGUCAAAUCAUCAUGCCCCUUAUGACCUGGGCUACACACGUGCUACAAUGGUUGGUACAACGAGUUGCGAGUCGGUGACGGCGAGCUAAUCUCUUAAAGCCAAUCUCAGUUCGGAUUGUAGGCUGCAACUCGCCUACAUGAAGUCGGAAUCGCUAGUAAUCGCGGAUCAGCACGCCGCGGUGAAUACGUUCCCGGGCCUUGUACACACCGCCCGUCACACCACGAGAGUUUGUAACACCCGAAGUCGGUGAGGUAACCUUUUGGAGCCAGCCGCCUAAGGUGGGACAGAUGAUUGGGGUG